GAUGAAGAACGUAGCGAAAUGCGAUAAGUAAUGUGAAUUGCAGAAUUCAGUGAAUCAUCGAAUCUUUGAACGCACAUUGCGCCCGGUAGUAAUCUGCCGGGCAUGCCUGUCCGAGCGUCAUUUCAACCCUCGAACCACUAUUCGCGUAGCUGGAUCGGUGUUGGGGCACUACGGUGGAAUACCCGUAGGCCCCGAAAUGAAGUGGCGGUCCCGCCGCGGCGCCCCCAUGCGUAGUAACAUCUCGUCUCGCAUCGGGUCCCGGCGGAGGCCUGCCGUCAAGCCUAUUUUCUAGUUACAGAUGGUUUGACCUCGGAUCAGGUAGGGUUACCCGCUGAACUUAAGCAUAUCAAUAAGCGGAGGA
rnacentral:misc_RNA from 1 species